rnacentral:rRNA from 1 species
AGUGGGGAAUCUUGGACAAUGGGCGCAAGCCUGAUCCAGCCAUGCCGCGUGAGUGAAGAAGGCCUUAGGGUUGUAAAACUCUUUCGCCGGAGAAGAUAAUGACGGUAUCCGGAGAAGAAGCCCCGGCUAACUUCGUGCCAGCAGCCGCGGUAAUACGAAGGGGGCUAGCGUUGUUCGGAAUUACUGGGCGUAAAGCGCACGUAGGCGGGUUUGUAAGUAGAGGGUGAAAUCCCAGAGCUCAACUCUGGAACUGCCUUCUAGACUGCAAGCCUGGAGGUCAGGAGAGGCGAGUGGAAUACCGAGUGUAGAGGUGAAAUUCGUAGAUAUUCGGUGGAACACCAGUGGCGAAGGCGACUCGCUGGACUGAUACUGACGCUGAGGUGCGAAAGCGUGGGGAGCAAA